rnacentral:rRNA from 1 species
UACGUAGGGUGCGAGCGUUGUCCGGAAUUACUGGGCGUAAAGAGCUCGUAGGUGGUUUGUCGCGUUGUUCGUGAAAACUCACAACUCAAUUGUGGGCGUGCGGGCGAUACGGGCAGACUGGAGUACUGCAGGGGAGACUGGAAGUUCCUGGUGUAGCGGUGGAAUGCGCAGAUAUCAGGAGGAACACCGGUGGCGAAGGCGGGU